CGAAAAGUGGUAUCCGCCACCAAUGCUAGCAGUAAUCUUCCCAAAGAUUCUGAGACAACUGGGGCGAGCUUUAGUGUAAAUCAAUCAGUGAUAUCCGGAGUGAGUUAGUCCGGAGUGAUGUCCGGAGUUAAUCUUGGUGGGAUACAGACCGUUUCCAAUUCUGUUGAAGAAACGCAAGCUUGGAUCGAGAACAUGUACGUGAUAUUUAUUGGGAAGUGAUGCUGGAAUAAAACUCAUUACAUUUUUCAAAAAAUAA